rnacentral:rRNA from 1 species
GAUGAACGCUGGCGGCGUGCUUAACACAUGCAAGUCGAACGAUGAAGCCCAGCUUGCUGGGUGGAUUAGUGGCGAACGGGUGAGUAACACGUGAGUAACCUGCCCUUAACUCUGGGAUAAGCCUGGGAAACUGGGUCUAAUACCGGAUAGGAGCGUCCACCGCAUGGUGGGUGUUGGAAAGAUUUAUCGGUUUUGGAUGGACUCGCGGCCUAUCAGCUUGUUGGUGAGGUAAUGGCUCACCAAGGCGACGACGGGUAGCCGGCCUGAGAGGGUGACCGGCCACACUGGGACUGAGACACGGCCCAGACUCCUACGGGAGGCAGCAGUGGGGAAUAUUGCACAAUGGGCGCAAGCCUGAUGCAGCGACGCCGCGUGAGGGAUGACGGCCUUCGGGUUGUAAACCUCUUUCAGUAGGGAAGAAGCGAAAGUGACGGUACCUGCAGAAGAAGCACCGGCUAACUACGUGCCAGCAGCCGCGGUAAUACGUAGGGUGCGAGCGUUAUCCGGAAUUAUUGGGCGUAAAGAGCUCGUAGCGGUUUGUCGCGUCUGUCGUGAAAGUCCGGGGCUUAACCCCGGAUCUGCGGUGGGUACGGGCAGACUAGAGUGCAGUAGGGGAGACUGGAAUUCCUGGUGUAGCGGUGGAAUGCGCGCAUAUCAGGAGGAACACCGAUGGGAAAGGCAGGUCUCUGGGCUGUAACUGACGCUGAGGAGCGAAAGCAUGGGGAGCGAACAGGAUUAGAUACCCUGGCAGUCCAUGCCGUAAACGUUGGGCACUAGGUGUGGGGACCAUUCCACGGUUUCCGCAUCCGCAGCUAACGCAUUAAGUGCCCCGCCUGGGGAGUACCGCCGCAAGGCUAAAACUCAAAGGAAUUGACGGGGGCCCGCACAAGCGGCGGAGCAUGCGGAUUAAUUCGAUGCAACGCGAAGAACCUUACCAAGGCUUGACAUGUUCUCGAUCGCCGUAGAGAUACGGUUUCCCCUUUGGGGCGGGUUCACAGGUGGUGCAUGGUUGUCGUCAGCUCGUGUCGUGAGAUGUUGGGUUAAGUCCCGCAACGAGCGCAACCCUCGUUCCAUGUUGCCAGCACGUCGUGGUGGGGACUCAUGGGAGACUGCCGGGGUCAACUCGGAGGAAGGUGAGGACGACGUCAAAUCAUCAUGCCCCUUAUGUCUUGGGCUUCACGCAUGCUACAAUGGCCGGUACAAUGGGUUGCGAUACUGUGAGGUGGAGCUAAUCCCAAAAAGCCGGUCUCAGUUCGGAUUGGGGUCUGCAACUCGACCCCAUGAAGUCGGAGUCGCUAGUAAUCGCAGAUCAGCAACGCUGCGGUGAAUACGUUCCCGGGCCU